CACCUCCACAGAAAGUUCCACGACAUUCCAGAAGCCUCGGCGCCUCCCGCGCUCAUCCAAAAAGGGCGGGACGCGCCGUCCGGCCGCGCAUGCGUAACUCCGCCUCACUGAGGUACGGUGGGGAGGAAGAGGUGGGAAGGCGUCGUCGGGGCUGGAAGGAGCUUCGUUUUCGGCGCUUUAAACGCAUUGCUGUGGAAAUAAACGCAACAGGGAGAAAAGGACCUCUGUGACUCAACAGACCAGCUGGAAUACCACUACUAAUAUGCACACAAAAUUUGGAAACUAAAAUGAAGUCUGGGUUCAAGACUAAAAGUGUGCUCCAACAAAAACUGAGUUCACGCUCCGCUAU